UUUUAUGAGAGUUUGAUCCUGGCUCAGGACGAACGCUGGCGGCGUGCCUAAUACAUGCAAGUCGAACGCUUCUUUUUCCACCGGAGCUUGCUCCACCGGAAAAAGAGGAGUGGCGAACGGGUGAGUAACACGUGGGUAACCUGCCCAUCAGAAGGGGAUAACACUUGGAAACAGGUGCUAAUACCGUAUAACAAUCAAAACCGCAUGGUUUUGAUUUGAAAGGCGCUUUCGGGUGUCGCUGAUGGAUGGACCCGCGGUGCAUUAGCUAGUUGGUGAGGUAACGGCUCACCAAGGCCACGAUGCAUAGCCGACCUGAGAGGGUGAUCGGCCACAUUGGGACUGAGACACGGCCCAAACUCCUACGGGAGGCAGCAGUAGGGAAUCUUCGGCAAUGGACGAAAGUCUGACCGAGCAACGCCGCGUGAGUGAAGAAGGUUUUCGGAUCGUAAAACUCUGUUGUUAGAGAAGAACAAGGAUGAGAGUAACUGUUCAUCCCUUGACGGUAUCUAACCAGAAAGCCACGGCUAACUACGUGCCAGCAGCCGCGGUAAUACGUAGGUGGCAAGCGUUGUCCGGAUUUAUUGGGCGUAAAGCGAGCGCAGGCGGUUUCUUAAGUCUGAUGUGAAAGCCCCCGGCUCAACCGGGGAGGGUCAUUGGAAACUGGGAGACUUGAGUGCAGAAGAGGAGAGUGGAAUUCCAUGUGUAGCGGUGAAAUGCGUAGAUAUAUGGAGGAACACCAGUGGCGAAGGCGGCUCUCUGGUCUGUAACUGACGCUGAGGCUCGAAAGCGUGGGGAGCAAACAGGAUUAGAUACCCUGGUAGUCCACGCCGUAAACGAUGAGUGCUAAGUGUUGGAGGGUUUCCGCCCUUCAGUGCUGCAGCUAACGCAUUAAGCACUCCGCCUGGGGAGUACGACCGCAAGGUUGAAACUCAAAGGAAUUGACGGGGGCCCGCACAAGCGGUGGAGCAUGUGGUUUAAUUCGAAGCAACGCGAAGAACCUUACCAGGUCUUGACAUCCUUUGACCA
rnacentral:rRNA from 1 species